CAGAGGUUAGUUUAUAAAAAUAUUGGUUUUGGGGACCAAUGAUAGGAAAAAUUUCUUACCUCUGA
rnacentral:tRNA from 1 species